rnacentral:rRNA from 1 species
AGAGUUUGAUCAUGGCUCAGGACGAACGCUGGCGGCGUGCUUAACACAUGCAAGUGGUGCGACGAACCAGGGCUUGCCCUGGGGCAAAGCCGCGAACGGGUGAGUAACACGUGAGUAACCUGCCCCGAUGACCGGGACAACCCGAGGAAACUCGGGCUAAUACCGGAUGUGGUGUACGGAUUUAAGUCUGUGCACUAAAGGAAGCUUCGGCCUCCGCAUUGGGAGGGGCUCGCGGCCCAUUAGCUUGUUGGUGGGGUAACGGCCUACCAAGGCAACGAUGGGUAGCUGGUCUGAGAGGACGAUCAGCCACACUGGGACUGAGACACGGCCCAGACUCCUACGGGAGGCAGCAGUGGGGAAUCUUGCGCAAUGCGCGAAAGCGUGACGCAGCAACGCCGCGUGGGGGAAGACGGCCUUCGGGUUGUAAACCCCUUUCAGGAGGGACGAAGGUUCGCCGGUGAAUAGCCGUGCGGAUUGACGGUACCUCCAGAAGAAGCUCCGGCUAACUACGUGCCAGCAGCCGCGGUAAUACGUAGGGAGCAAGCGUUGUCCGGAAUCAUUGGGCGUAAAGCGCGCGUAGGCGGCCCUGUAAGUCCGUUGUGAAAGUCAAAGGCUCAACCUUUGAAAGCCGAUGGAUACUGCAGGGCUAGAGUCCGGAAGAGGCGAGUGGAAUUCCUGGUGUAGCGGUGGAAUGCGCAGAUAUCAGGAGGAACACCAAUAGCGAAGGCAGCUCGCUGGGACGGUACUGACGCUAAGGCGCGAAAGCGUGGGGAGCGAACAGGAUUAGAUACCCUGGUAGUCCACGCCGUAAACGAUGGGCACUAGGUGUGGGAGGUGUCGACUCCUCCCGUGCCGUCGCUAACGCACUAAGUGCCCCGCCUGGGGAGUACGGCCGCAAGGCUAAAACUCAAAGGAAUUGACGG